GCACCAGUAGUGUAUGGAACACGCCGUUUACUGAUACUUGCGGCGGAACAGGGCUCGAUUCCCCGCUGGUGCA